CCAAUAUUAUAUUCUUAUUUUGUCUAUAAAUAAGUCUUAUAAGACUUAAACAGGCAUAUAAACAUCGUGCAAACUUUACAAAAGAUCCAAAGAAAAAGCUUUCUCCUAAAGCAAAUAUUACAUAUUUAGCGGUUCGUAUUAUAGUUUAAAUAAUAUUAUUGUUAAAAAAAGCUGAAGAAAGCUGAACGAAUUAGAUUGGCUAAUUACAUCUAAUAAUGAUGAUCAUUAUUAUAUUGUUAUUACCUAUCUUUAUCAUAUUGGUAUAUAAUUAUUAUGUACAUUAUGGACGAAAUGGACGACUUAUCAAUCGUAUACCAGGACCACCAUGUUAUCCGAUUACUGGAAACAUUUUACAAUAUUUACAAUCACGAG